rnacentral:tRNA from 1 species
GGUCCGGUAGUAUAGUAUACGUUGUGGCAAACCCAGAAACGUGGGUGACAGCCCGCCCGGACUU